ACACCGUGAAGGCAGGAACUCUGGUUUGUUCAUCCUCAGCGUUUAGAACAGCUUGGCACGUAAAGGCUUGCUAACUCUGUCGUUGGAGGAAGCAAGAAUUACAUAUAAAAAUCCAGUGUGUCUCAAUUUAAAGGGUCAUUUUUAUUCCUGGUUACUGAUCCUCUCCUCUUGGUCUCCUCCAAAUGAAAAAGAAGAAAGGGGAAGAGGGAGAAAAGGAACAGCAGCAGUCAUGCUUCAGUAUAAUUUUAUACCAACUGUUUUAGAAUAAAUAUUUAAAAUUGA